AUUCCCCCGAGUCGGCCCGCGGGCUACGGCCGCCUGCGGAGCGCAGGAACCUUCACCUCCCGAGGACAGGCGCCUUCCCCUCGGGACCCGGCUCCCCUGCUGCCUGCGCCGCUCUGUCCCCCUGCCGCUGCCCAAGCCUCCAGCAGGGGCCACCGAGGGCUCCAGGAGCACCCCAGGCCCGUUCUUCUGGCCCACAGCGCCCCUCCUGUGACCCUCAGCGACCCUCCUGUCCUGCCCUCCGGCGGCGCGGCUGUCUGGAGACUCUGCACCGUCGCGGCCUCGCAGCCUCGCAGCCCCGCGCCGGGUGGGGAGGGGAGGGUGGCGUUCCUGAGUCCGCGGAGGAAAGGGUCGCAGCUGCAGUCGCGCCAGCCCUCGGGCCUACAUCCGCUCCGCCGCGACGCGGCUCACAAACUAGGGAGGGGAGAAGGGAAGAAAGACCCGAUUCGGGAACACGGCUUUGUCCCUGGAACUGUACCUCAUGUCCCCUCACUUAAUCCUCCCAAGACCUGUGGGGCGUGUCGUCAUUUUAGGGCUGGAGAUGAGGAAACCGAGGCUCGGAGAGAUGAAGCGUUGUACGGCCACCGAGCGGCUGCUUUGCAACGAAGCCAAAGCCAACGUUUUGUUCUUAGCGGCGGUCGUUUGAGCCACGCCUCACCGCAACGAGUCUGCCAUCAGCCAAGAGGUCACAUCUUUUCUGGAACUCGCUCCCCCCUCACAUCAUGGGAGCAAUGGAGUGAAGGUACCUGAGCGCAGGAACCAUGGUCUUCAUUGCUGCCUCAGCAUUAGCGGAAGUGCCACGGGCCGGCUCCCAGGGGGCCAGAGUUUCCCAGGAACACCAUUGAGUACCACUGAACUAGAGUCUGCAAGUUAAAGUAAGGCAAGAAGGAAAACCGGAAACAACUGUAAAAACCUGACCUUUCGUCACCUUAAUACUGGCCAUCAUUUAUCGAGUGCUUAUUAUGUAACAGACAUUGUUCUCAGUGUGUGAGUGCAGUGUUCCUCAAACCUAAAUGUGGGCCUGAAUCGCAGCGGAUCUUGGUAAAAUGCAGUUUCUCAUUCAGUACCUCUGGGGUGCGGCCUGAGAUUCUGCAUUUCCAACAAGCUCCCAGGAUACUUUGUAUAGAAAGGCUUUGGUGUAUUAACUAACUCGAUCUUCUUAAUAAUCCUAUGAAAUACUACUGCUAUUCCCAUUUUACAGAUGAGGAA
rnacentral:lncRNA from 10 species